CCGGGCCCGAGCCCGAGCCCUUGACCCCCCGCGACCUGAUGCUGCGCGCAGCCUGGCGGGGGUUUCUAGUUCUCGUUCUUCACGUGCACGGACACUUGACACACGUACUUCUGGAGCGAGAUGCAGCACCUGAGGUAAAGGGAAAAGGGAGAACGAGGAAGUGAAAGAUGCCAUAAGCAAUAACUACAUUUCAAAGUAGGGAGACAAACUAGCACAUGGUUCAACAACAUCUUGAGAGAACAUCUGGCACUGGGUGCAGCUCAACAUGAAGCAACUUUGAUCCAGAGGGUAGAAGUAAAGCGAGGAAGAAGAAAGAAGCAUGCUGUAAACUUAGACUCCGACUCAGACAACAUAUGGAUCUGUGGAACUUAUAACAACGCUCUCGAAUUGGGCUUGCCAGCCACAGAUAUUCAUUAGGCAUCUGACCUGUACACCUUACAUGUACUUUUACAUGUACACCAUGAUCCAGAGGAUUUACGGUUGCCUACUUAAACGUUCAACAACAACAACAGCAACAACAACAACAAGUCUAUUGAUAAUUGCACCAGAUCUUGGCAUUUAACCAGGCCCAGAUGUGGGCUGCUCUGUAUGCUAAUAAAAUGCACUGCAACCCAUGCAGCCUGAGGCUAAGUUUCUGCUACCAACAUCAAAGUGUGCUUCUUGGCCACUUAAGCUUUUGAGGCAACCUCUAUCUUGUCCUUGCCUUGCUGACAUGCACUCAAAUCACUCUCUUCCAGGAAAACUUUUUCAAACCAAUUUCACCUCACCUAGAUAUAGGUCUUUAUAUGAUCCCUCUUUUUCCAAACAAAUUUCAGAUCUUUCCUUCCAGUCAGAUAAAAGGGUCAUCAUCUGCUAGUGUUCUCACUUAAGAAGCUUUUUUAAAAAAUUGAGGGAUACUCAUUCCAUUAGUGAAAUAUGGGGGAGGGUUUUUUGGGGGGAGGGAGGGUGUUAAAUUUGUCAGGACUUUAU